rnacentral:lncRNA from 10 species
UCCGAGUUGGUGGCCAUGUGGAGGAGCUGGGAGAGUGGCACCCCUGGAGAGGGUGUGGAAGCUCCGUUGCCUCCACCGUCUUUUCCGCCUGCUGUUCCUGAGUUGUAUCCUUUUAUUAUAAAUCUGCAACCUAGUAGUAAACUGUUUUCCUGAGCUCCAUGAACUGCUCUAGCAAAUCACCAAAUCUGAACAGGGGCUCAGGGGAACCUCUGAUUUAUAACUAGUGGUUCAGAACCACAGGUGGCAACCUGGACUUGUGACUGGCGUCUGAAGGCAGUGGGCAUAGUGUUGUGGGACUGCCUGAGCCCUUAACUUGUGGAAUCUGAUGCUAACCUCAGGAAGGGGAAAGAGGAGGGUAGAAAAGAAUAA